UACGGAAGGCAGCAGUGGGGAAUAUUGCACAAUGGGCGAAAGCCUGAUGCAGCUAUGCCGCGUGUAUGAAGAAGGCCUUAGGGUUGUAAAGUACUUUCAUCGGGGAGGAAAAACAAAACUAAUAAUUUUAUUUCUUGACGUUACCCGAAAAAGAAGCACCGGCUAACUCCGUGCCAGCAGCCGCGGUAAUACGGAGGGUGCUAGCGUUAAUCAGAAUUACUGGGCGUAAAGAGCACGUAGGUGGUUUUUUUAAGUCAGAUGUGAAAUCCCUGGGCUUAACCUAGGAACUGCAUUUUGAAACUGAAAUACUAGAGUAUCGUAGAGGGAGGUAGAAUUCUAGGUGUAGCGGUGAAAUGCGUAGAUAUCUGGAGGAAUACCUGUGGCGAAAGCGGCCUCCUAAACGAAUACUGACACUGAGGUGCGAAAGCGUGGGAAGCAAACAGGGAUUAGAUACC
rnacentral:rRNA from 1 species